GUUUGGGUUCUUCUCGUUGUUGUUAUUGGCGUCCAAUUUCUUCUCACAUACAAGCUUGUCUAGGGGUUUUCUGUUAUUUUUGCUAACAAUUUUUUUUCAUAUCCCAUGUUAGGAUCAAUGUAAGCUAGAGGUUGAAAAUUUCAUAUCUGAAUAACUUAUCGUUAUCUGGAAAGUUACUUUUCACGACGGAUCUUGAUUGUUUCUGUGCGGCUUCUUUCUUUCAUA
rnacentral:lncRNA from 1 species